GCCUGGGUGGUUCAGUUGGUUGAGCGUCUGACUCUUGAUUUCAGCUCAGAUCAUGAUCUCACUGUGGGAUCGAGCCCCACAUUGGGCU
rnacentral:tRNA from 1 species